UUGCAAAAGGGAAGAAAAAAAAGGAGCAAAGAAGGGUUGGUGCAGCCUGAGCUCCUGUUGCUGUGUGACGUAGUUAGCUGACUCCAGGGUGGAGCACGUGGAGCAUCGCUUGUACUGCCGUGAUGGAUGUGAGCAGCAUGGUCAUAUAUUUAUAUGUGCAGGAGAGUAAAUAGUGCUGAACUCCUUGAUCUCUCAGCUUUGUAACACUGAUUGUCCAACAGCGAUCUCUACUUCCCGGUAUCAGGAAGGAGUUCCUAUCAGGGCUGGACAAAUGAGGAGCUUUCAGUGAACGAUCCUUGGUACU
rnacentral:lncRNA from 1 species